CAGCAGUAGCCGCCACGGGAAUACGUAGGGUCCGAGCGUUGUCCGGAAUUAUUGGGCGUAAAGGGCUCGUAGGCGGUUUGUUGCGUCGGGAGUGAAAACCUACAGCUUAACUGUGGGCUUGCUUUCGAUACGGGCAGACUUGAGGCAUUCAGGGGAGAACGGAAUUCCUGGUGUAGCGGUGAAAUGCGCAGAUAUCAGGAGGAACACCGGUGGCGAAGGCGGUUCUCUGGGAAUGUUCUGACGCUGAGGAGCGAAAGUGUGGGGAGCGAACAGGAUUAGAUACCCGCGUAGUCCCUGUCUCUUU
rnacentral:rRNA from 1 species